rnacentral:rRNA from 1 species
CAAUAGCGUAUAUUAAAGUUGUUGCAGUUAGAACGCUCGUAGUCGGAUUUCGGGGCGGGCCGGCCGGUCUGCCGAUGGGUAUGCACUGGUCGGCGCGUCCUUCCUUCCGGAGACCGUCCCUACUCUUAACUGAGCGGGGGCGGGAGACGGGACUUUUACUUUGAAAAAAUCAGAGUGUUUCAAGCAGGCAGCUCGCUCUUGCAUGGAUUAGCAUGGGAUAAUGAAAUAGGACUUUGGUGCUAUUUUGUUGGUUUCGAACACCGAAGUAAUGAUGAGAAGGGACAGUCAGGGGCACUCGUAUUCCGCCGAGAGAGGUGAAAUUCUCAGACCAGCGGAAGACGAACCACUGCGAAAGCAUUUGCCAGGGAUGUUUNCACUGA